rnacentral:rRNA from 1 species
UACGUAGGCAGCAAGCGUUGUUCGGAGUUACUGGGCGUAAAGGGUGUGUAGGCGGUUCUUUAAGUUUGGUGUGAAAUCUCCCGGCUCAACCGGGAGGGUGCGCCGAAUACUGAGGGACUAGAGUGCGGGAGAGGAAAGUGGAAUUCCUGGUGUAGCGGUGAAAUGCGUAGAUAUCAGGAGGAACACCGGUGGUGUAGACGGCUCUCUGGACCGUAACUGACGCUGAGACACGAAAGCGUGGGUAGCAAACAGG